rnacentral:lncRNA from 1 species
GAGGGAGCUUCUCCACCUAUUUGCAUAGAGAGGGAACAGGUGCCUCUCAGCCGAGAAACCACUGAAGGAAAUUCUGACUUCCGGCAAUCUUCUGAUUGGAGGGGUUGGACAAGAUGUUGGGGGCAGACACGAGGACCAAGCCUGGGGGAUGAGGGGAGCUCAUCACACAAAGGUAUGUCUGUAUGAGGGCAUCCCCUGGAGCAGGAGUUAUAGACAGCUGUGAGCUGCCAUGUGGUUGCUGGGAAUUGAACCUGGAUCCUCUGCAAGAGCAGUCAAUGCUCUUAACCACCGAGCCAUCUCUCUAGCCCCCAGAAAGAGGAAAAUUGUAAUACUUUAUCAUGUAAAUUUUUUUUCAAG